rnacentral:rRNA from 1 species
AUACGGAGGAUCCGAGCGUUAUCCGGAUUUAUUGGGUUUAAAGGGAGCGUAGGCGGACGCUUAAGUCAGUUGUGAAAGUUUGCGGCUCAACCGUAAAAUUGCAGUUGAUACUGGGUGUCUUGAGUACAGUAGAGGCAGGCGGAAUUCGUGGUGUAGCGGUGAAAUGCUUAGAUAUCACGAAGAACUCCGAUUGCGAAGGCAGCCUGCUUGACUGUAACUGACGCUGAUGCUCGAAAGUGUGGGUAUCAAACAGGAUUAGAUACCCUGGUAGUCCACACAGUAAACGAUGAAUACUCGCUGUUUGCGAUAUACAGUAAGCGGCCAAGCGAAAGCGUUAAGUAUUCCACCUGGGGAGUACGCCGGCAACGGUGAAACUCAAAUGAAUUGGCGGGG